UUAGUCAUUGAUUUAAUGAUUUUGUUUUAAAUAGAGGUUUGUAAAAUACGAAGUAGGAAAUAAUUGGGUAUCCCGUGAAAGACCGUUUUCCGUGGGUCGAGUGAACGAAUUCCCGGGAAGGAUGAUAUUCAUAUACUUUAAUACUUAUAUGUUUUUGUUGCGCUGCGCACAAACCGCGACCCACAAGUUACCAAGCCGCAAUGUUUGGACGCUUUUUCGGUCAGUCAUCGUCAAAUCGGCGUGGCGGCGGUCUCGUUUAAUAUCAUAUUUUGCACCGAGUGCCGUAUAAUCCAUCCAUGUUUUAAAAAUCGACAGCGCCGUGCCACGCCCGAACGUCGCUAAGCAACGCAACCACGCACCGUCCACAUCUUCUCCACAGAAAUUGCGACGCGGUCACUGCUCACCGACCAACUGUGCGCCUACAACGGCAUGGGAAAAUGGAUAUUUUCUGUCAUGGCUCGUAAGUGCUCCUCCCCCUUAUGAGUGUAUCGUUUGCAGUAAGUUCGUCCGUAAUAAUUUUCCGCGCCACAGUCUGACCACGCACUUGCCUGAUUCCGUCGGCGUUGCACUCAAUCGUCUCAAUCAGUUACGUCUUGCACUUGCAAUCCGCUUAUACUUGCAUUUUUCUUGCGUCCGCGUUUUGUCGGUCGACCACCGGGACGUUACUGUGAUGUAUAGUAACAAAUUUACACACAACACUAUCAAUAGACUAGUCGACAAACAUGCUAUGCUAAAAGCUUACAAACGAAAUCCUGGGUUCCAAUAUCCUCUCUUGUCAACUACUUAUUCAAUUUAAUAUUUAUUGCCUUGCAAAAAUGGAAGGUGAUUAAAAACUAACGAAAAAUAUCUUCCCAAGUGAAAAUGUCUACUACAAUGAGAUAACAGGGAUAAUGAUGGUUACAUUCCAUCCAGCAGAAAAAUAUAUAAUUAGCAAUUUAUUAUUAGAUAACAUCAAACUGUAUUUAUUACAAAACGCACCAUCAGUUUAUGUUUAUGAGUGCCAGAGAAACCUAUUUAUUGCACAUACAUGGCAUGUAUGUGGAUAGAAAUAUGUGGAGUAUUCAUUCCUAACAUAAUAAACUGGAAAAUGUUGAUAAAUUAUACUUCAUUUUCUUGUUUUGUUUUUUGGUUGGUGAAAAAUUGUAAAUAUGUUAAGGAAUAACCAAGAUGGAGAUUUGAAAAAGAUGUACAAUUUUUUGAGUCCUGUGGCAUGGAAGUGAUGUUUGAUUUUGAUGGUAUGCAUCCAUGUUUGUAUGAAGCAGAAACAAGUUUAUACUACAUUUUAUAUAAUUAAAUAGAAAUAUUCUUUAUAACCUUAAAUAUUAGAAAAAAUGUAUACUGAUCAUUGUUUUUAACACAAGUAGAUACAAUGAUAUUCAACAAUAUAAUAUAUUAUGAAACUAAAAUCAGUAAAAUCAGUAAAAUUAAAGUGUCAAAAUAUGUAAAUGAAUUUAUUUAUGAUUCUAUUAUAUGCAAUAUAUUAUAUGAUCAGAGCUCGGAUUUUAUACCACUAAAAAUAAAUGAAAUAUGCGUUAUAAUAUGACCUAAAAAAUCAUUAAAUAAGCGCUAUAAUAUGCCCUAAAAAUAUGAAAAAUAGCAAAAAUAAAAAUGUAUUCUAUUCAUAAUUAAAAAAAACUAAUAAUUAUAAUAAUUACUGUUCGAUAGGCCGAUACGCCAGACUAUUUAAAAAUAGACUUUAAUAUAAAAAAAAUGUGUGUAUUUUUCAUACCUAUGUAUUAAAAAAAAAAAAUAAUUAAAAUAAAUGACAACAUUCUUAUAAUUUUCAUAGGUACCACAUAAUAUAAACUAGAUUUAUGAAAAUACAAAAUAAAAGUUAUAUUAUACAAAUUACCAAAAAAUAGCACCAAAACUUGAAAAAUAGCGCUAAAAAUCUAAAAUACUUCAAAUAUGCAAAAAAUAGCAUUAUAAAAUUUCAUACUUGGAAUCCCUGGUACAUAAAACAAAUUUAUAGCUCAUUGCUCUUUUUAUCUGUAUUCUAUAAUAAUUAGCAAAUGCUAUAAAAUCCGAUCCCUGUAUAAUAUGAUAUAUAUAAUAUAUAAUAUGUAUACAAAAAACAUAAAAGUUUCUCUUCCCCAAUUCCAAAAUAACAAAUCAAAUAAUAAAUAUAAUUAUACAAUUACAACGUUUAUGUGGUGGCCUUUUAAAUACACAAAUGUCGAAUACUCACUUUAUUACUGUAAGUUUGAAUUAUUUUAUCAACCAGUAAAAAUACCAUUUAAAUGUCAUUAUGUAAACGUAAUAAAUAAAAUAUUUUCAUAUACUAUACCAAUAAAUUUAAUGUUUUGUAUAAUAUAAGAAAAAAUGUAUUCAUAUCAUUAGGUAUGUUAUUUAAAAUCUUUAAAAAAAUAAAGUAAUUUUAUAGCCAGUAAUUAUUUUAAAAAUAAAUAUUAUUGAUUUCUAAAAUUUUAUUGAGGAUUGCUGGUCUAGAAUGUACACAUAAUAAUUAUCUUAAAAUUAAAACAUUUUAUUUUAAAAAUUACAUGAAAUUGUACAUGAAAAUCAAAACUGUUUUUUCGACUAAGAACAUUUUUAACAACAAAUAGUCUUCAUAAUCAUAAUAUGUAGGACCCGGAUGAUUAUGACUUUUGCAUCUUUUUUUUGGAAUAUCAUAGACAAUGUUUUCCUAACUUAAAAUAUGUUUUAAUAACAUUAACAUACAAUUAUAAUAUAUAAUUUAUUUUUAUUUUACAUUUUUGCAUUUUUUAAUUUAUAUGUGACUUUUUAGGUCUUUUAUUGAAGUUAUAGUGCCAUUUUUAUUAUAUUUACCAAUUGAAUGAAAUUGAAAACUCAACUAAUAAAUAAAAAUGUAAAACCUUAAAAGCAUUUAACUUAAUUACCUUUUACAUAUACCUACUACAAAAUAUGCUUAAAUUGUUUUUUAGAUUAUAACUAGU